GGGCGAUUAGCUCAGUUGGUUAGAGCGCCACUCUUACACAGUGGAUGUCGUGGGUUCGAGUCCCUCAUCGCCCACUA
rnacentral:tRNA from 1 species